rnacentral:rRNA from 1 species
CCUACGGGUGGCAGCAGUGAGGAAUAUUGGUCAAUGGACGCAAGUCUGAACCAGCCAUGCCGCGUGGAGGAAGAAGGCUCUAUGAGUUGUAAACUGCUUUUGUACGAGAGUAAACGCAGAUAAGCGAAUCUGUAUGAAACGAUCGUACGAAUAAGGAUCGGCUAACUCCGUGCCAGCAGCCGCGGUAAUACGGAGGAUUCAAGCGUUAUCCGGAUUUAUUGGGUUUAAAGGGUGCGUAGGCGGUCGGAUAAGUUAGAUGUGAAAUCCCGAGGCUCAACUUCGGAAUUGCCUCUGAUACUGUUAGGCUAGAGAGUAGUUGCGGUAGGCGGAAUGUAUGGUGUAGCGGUGAAAUGCGUAGAGAUCAUAAAGAACACCGAUUGCGAAGGCAGCUUACCAAGCUACUUCUGACGUUGAGCCACGAAAGCGUGGGGAGCAAACAGGAUUAGAUACCCCUGUAGUC